GACGAACGCUGGCGGCGCGCCUAACACAUGCAAGUCGAACGGAGCUUGCUUGUCAGAUCCUUUCGGGGUGACGACUUGUAAGCUUAGUGGCGAACGGGUGAGUAACACGUGAGUAACCUGCCCCAGAGUGGGGGGACAACAGUUGGAAACGACUGCUAAUACCGCAUAAGCCCACGGAACCGCAUGGUUCUGGGGGAAAAGGAGCAAUUCGCUCUGGGAUGGACUCGCGUCCGAUUAGCUGGAUGGUGAGGUAACGGCCCACCAUGGCGACGAUCGGUAGCCGGACUGAGAGGUUGAUCGGCCACAUUGGGACUGAGACACGGCCCAG
rnacentral:rRNA from 1 species